GGCUUACACCCUAGGUCCACGAGUAGGCCUUGGACAGCCCAUCAAGGGACGUACUCGGACAAGAUCAGAACAAGGAUGGGCGUAUCCUAUUCGGACUAGUCAAGUAUGUUUAUGGAAAACUACUCAGGCCAUUACUGAGUAGAACUCUGUAAUAGUACCCGACUAGGACUAAGACUUGUAACCCUGCCCUCCCGUGUAUAUAAGGGCGGGCAGGGACCCCCCCCUUAACACACCUCAAC
rnacentral:lncRNA from 1 species